AUGACUAACAUCCUUUAUGCAGCUGAGAAGUCAGGAACUUGCCUUUCUGCUUGGACAGGUCUCUCCAGCUGCCAAAGAGCUAGAGGAAGAGUUCUGCAGCAACCCUCAGCCUCCAGAUUAGAAGGAUUAUCGGCAGAACAGGCAGGGAUCCGUGCAGUUAGACUGUCCUCAACUAUAUGGUUACUCUCAUCUUUCCAGAGAAUAACAGGCAGCAGAGCGUGAGCUGAAGCUGAGGCUGCACCACUGAUCUCUAUGGGUCUCUGUUCCCCUUCUGUAAAACAAGGAAUGAGGGUUUCUUCUCUGUUAUCUACUUGGAUUGCAACAAGGCACGUAAAAUUAUU
rnacentral:lncRNA from 1 species